AUUGAACGCUGGCGGCAUGCCUUACACAUGCAAGUCGAACGGCAGCACGGGUGCUUGCACCUGGUGGCGAGUGGCGAACGGGUGAGUAAUAUAUCGGAACGUACCUUAUUGUGGGGGAUAACGCAGCGAAAGCUGUGCUAAUACCGCAUAAUCCCUAAGGGGGAAGCGGGGGACCGUAAGGCCUCGCGCAAUUAGAGCGGCCGAUACCUGAUUAGCUAGUUGGUGAGGUAAAGGCUCACCAAGGCAACGAUCAGUAGCUGGUCUGAGAGGACGAUCAGCCACACUGGGACUGAGACACGGCCCAGACUCCUACGGGAGGCAGCAGUGGGGAAUUUUGGACAAUGGGGGCAACCCUGAUCCAGCAAUGCCGCGUGAGUGAAGAAGGCCUUCGGGUUGUAAGGCUCUUUUGUCAGGGAAGAAACAGCAGCUCUAACACAGUUUGCGAAUGACGGUACCUGAAGAAUAAGCACCGGCUAACUACGUGCCAGCCGCCGCAGUAA
rnacentral:rRNA from 1 species